rnacentral:rRNA from 1 species
UACGUAGGGGGCAAGCGUUGUCCGGAAUCAUUGGGCGUAAAGCGCGUGUAGGCGGCUUGGUAAGUCUGCUCUGAAAGCCCGGGGCUCAACCCCGGGCUUGCGGUCGAUACGGGCAGGCUGGAGUUCGGUAGGGGAGACUGGAAUUCCUGGUGUAGCGGGUGAAAUGCGCAGAUAUCAGGAGGAACACCGGUGGCGAAGGCGGGUCUCUGGGCCGAUACUGACGCUGAGGCACGAAGGUCAGGGGAGCAAACGGG